rnacentral:rRNA from 1 species
AUUGAACGCUGGCGGCAAGCCUAACACAUGCAAGUCGAACGAGUGGCGGACGGGUGAGUAAUGUCUGGGAAACUGCCUGAUGGAGGGGGAUAACUACUGGAAACGGUAGCUAAUACCGCAUACCAUCAGAUGUGCCCAGAUGGGAUUAGCUAGUAGGUGGGGUAAAGGCUCACCUAGGCGACGAUCCCUAGCUGGUCUGAGAGGAUGACCAGCCAAACGGGAACUGAGACACGGUCCAGACGCCUACGGGAGGAAGCAGUGGGGCAUAUUGCACAAUGGGCGCAAGCCGGAUGCAGCCAUGCCGCGGGGGUGAAGAAGGCCUUCGGGGUGUAAAGUACUUUCAGCGAGGAGGCGUUACUCGCAGAAGAAGCACCGGCUAACUCCGUGCCAGCAGCCGCGGUAAUUC